GAGUUUGAUCCUGGCUCAGGACGAACGCUGGCGGCGCGCCUAACACAUGCAAGUCGAACGAGCGAGAGAGAGCUUGCUUUCUCGAGCGAGUGGCGAACGGGUGAGUAACGCGUGAGGAACCUGCCUCAAAGAGGGGGACAACAGUUGGAAACGACUGCUAAUACCGCAUAAGCCCACGGCUCGGCAUCGAGCAGAGGGAAAAGGAGCAAUCCGCUUUGAGAUGGCCUCGCGUCCGAUUAGCUAGUUGGUGAGGUAAUGGCCCACCAAGGCGACGAUCGGUAGCCGGACUGAGAGGUUGAACGGCCACGUUGGGACUGAGACACGGCCCAAACUCCUACGGGAGGCAGCAGUGGGGAAUAUUGCACAAUGGGGGAAACCCUGAUGCAGCGACGCCGCGUGGAGGAAGAAGGUCUUCGGAUUGUAAACUCCUGUUGUUGAGGAAGAUAAUGACGGUACUCAACAAGGAAGUGACGGCUAACUACGUGCCAGCAGCCGCGGUAAAACGUAGGUCACAAGCGUUGUCCGGAGUUACUGGGUGUAAAGGGAGCGCAGGCGGGAAGACAAGUUGGAAGUGAAAUCUAUGGGCUCAACCCAUAAACUGCUUUCAAAACUGUUUUUCUUGAGUAGUGCAGAGGUAGGCGGAAUUCCCGGUGUAGCGGUGGAAUGCGUAGAUAUCGGGAGGAACACCAGUGGCGAAGGCGGCCUACUGGGCACCAACUGACGCUGAGGCUCGAAAGUGUGGGUAGCAAACAGGAUUAGAUACCCUGGUAGUCCACACCGUAAACGAUGAUUACUAGGUGUUGGAGGAUUGACCCCUUCAGUGCCGCAGUUAACACAAUAAGUAAUCCACCUGGGGAGUACGACCGCAAGGUUGAAACUCAAAGGAAUUGACGGGGGCCCGCACAAGCAGUGGAGUAUGUGGUUUAAUUCGACGCAACGCGAAGAACCUUACCAAGUCUUGACAUCCCUUGACGAUGCUGGAAACAGUAUUUCUCUUCGGAGCAAGGAGACAGGUGGUGCAUGGUUGUCGUCAGCUCGUGUCGUGAGAUGUUGGGUUAAGUCCCGCAACGAGCGCAACCCUUACUGUCAGUUACUACGCAAGAGGACUCUGGCAGGACUGCCGUUGACAAAACGGAGGAAGGUGGGGAUGACGUCAAAUCAUCAUGCCCUUUAUGACUUGGGCUACACACGUACUACAAUGGCGUUAAACAAAGAGAAGCAAGACCGCGAGGUGGAGCAAAACUCAGAAACAACGUCCCAGUUCGGACUGCAGGCUGCAACUCGCCUGCACGAAGUCGGAAUUGCUAGUAAUCGUGGAUCAGCAUGCCACGGUGAAUACGUUCCCGGGCCUUGUACACACCGCCCGUC
rnacentral:rRNA from 1 species